CCUACGGGAGGCAGCAGUAGGGAAUCUUUCACAAUGGGCGAAAGCCUGAUGGAGCAACGCCGCGUGCAGGAUGAAGGCCUUCGGGUUGUAAACUGCUUUUAUAAGCGAGAAAUAUGAUGGUAACUUAUGAAUAAGGAUCGGCUAACUACGUGCCAGCAGCCGCGGUCAUACGUAGGAUCCGAGCAUUAUCCGGAGUGACUGGGUGUAAAGAGUUGCGUAGGGGGCAUAAUAAGUAGCUGGUGAAAUCUGGUGGCUCAACCAUUCAGACUAUUAGCUAAACUGUUAAGCUCGAGACCGUUAGGGGUAACUGGAAUUUGUAGAGUAGGAGUGAAAUCCGUAGAUAUUAGAAGGAACACCAAUAGCGUAGGCAGGUUGCUGGGACGGUUCUGACACUAAGGCACGAGAGCGUAGGGAGCAAACGGGAUUAGAUACCCUUGUAGUC
rnacentral:rRNA from 1 species